rnacentral:rRNA from 1 species
GAACUGAAGAGUUUGAUCAUGGCUCAGAUUGAACGCUGGCGGCAGGCCUAACACAUGCAAGUCGAGCGGAUGAGGGGAGCUUGCUCCCCGAUUCAGCGGCGGACGGGUGAGUAAUGCCUAGGAAUCUGCCUGGUAGUGGGGGACAACGUUUCGAAAGGAACGCUAAUACCGCAUACGUCCUACGGGAGAAAGCAGGGGACCUUCGGGCCUUGCGCU